rnacentral:lncRNA from 1 species
GUCAGAUAUACUAUAUACUGGGAUUUCCUGUUAACUAGCAAAAUAGAAGCACUUUAGCUGAUCUAACAUCAUGGGUCAGGUAUUUUGGGAUGGAGCUGAACUUGCAAUAGCAUUAGCAAAAUGAAAACCUUAGCAUGUUGAAUGAUAGCAGAUAAGAAACUUGUAUUUCUUGCAAUUGGCUCUAGAUGUUGAUAAGAAAUGCCCAUGUGCAAUAUCUUGAAAGCUUGGAUUUGAAUCCAGAAAGCUUAGGUUGAUCUUAUGUUCUUACCCCUGUUUUUUUCCUAAUCAGCAUGUUUAUUACCUUAGUACCCUAGCCACUGCCAAAAGUUUUUACCUUGAUCCACUAUUGGCAGCUACCAUUGAAAUUUCUAAAACCUAUACACAUAUUUGUUUUAGAAUUUAAGCUUGUGCAAGAGUAUAUGUUUAUGUCACUGAAGUAUGAGCUAUUGCAAUAAUUAUUUCUUCAUAUGACAGGGUAAGGCUAAAGAUGAAAAGAAUCAAUGACUAGGACAAUGGGAAAAUGUGAACUCAUGCCAUCUUUGCAAAGUAGAAAAGCUCUUUUUUGAGCCUCCACCUACUUUGAGCCAACAACAGUGUGCUAUGAAACAUAUUGGCCUAAAUAAUCUGUAAAUCGGAAUUUGAACAUGGGACCAUUGUAGACCUAGGCAUACAUUCUCUAAUUCAUAAGUGGUCGAUUAUACAAUAGUAGAAAAACUACAAACACAUGUUUGUUUAGAGAGGCUGGCAUACCAAAAAAUGUCAGAGUCAUAAUGACUGGACCAAAUGUUGGUGAACACCAAUCAUAAAUUUAGAGAGGAUGGUGUAAGUUUGUUUUGGUUGCGCCAGUGCAGACCUUUUGGUCAAACCCUCAGGCUUGCAGCUCUAAAGAAGCCAUGUACUACUAAAUGUGGAUAUAUCACACUUCUUAGCAAAAACAAAGAAGCCAAUGUAAUAAACUAUUUUAGAUCUUCAAUCUUGACACUACAUGAGCAAUGUUCUAAAAUUUUUUUCUUCAUGCCAACCAGACGAUCAACCUGAAUUAUUAAUGUUUUUCUCUGAAGGCGUAGGAAUUAGAAGUUGAAAGAAGGAAAUGACAUUUACCUUAUGUAUUUGUGUCUUCCUACCUGCACCCAUGUGAAAGGAGUAUAUUUUUCUCAUGGUCUGCAACUCUGCAAUUAAGCUAUUAUUCAUAAGGUUACCUACAAAAAAUCAGAAUAAAAAUGAUUAGCAUAAAAAUUUCCAAAUUCUGACGAGGCAAAACCUGGUUGCAUAUUAUAAAUCCAAACAAAAGCCAUUAACCCAUCUAGAUCUUAACAUUCCUACCUUCUUCAUUUAGUACUGAAUGUUUACUCUCCUAGGGAAACAAAAGAUACAAAAUGGUUCUAUAAUCCACACAAACAUCCUACCUUCUAUCUAGAAACUGGUCAUGCAAACUGCUCUCCAUUUGUCCUAGAGAUGGAGCGAUGGUGCUAACUUGAUCCAGGAUCAUGGGCUUACUGCCAAACUCCACCAACGGUUUAGACACACUGAGCGACUGUAGUCGUAAGUGGAUGCCAAAGCUUCUAACAACAAUGAGGCCUUCAUGGCUGCAGCAAUCCUCCUCCAAAUCCAGCCCCCACCCUGUGGAAAAAUGCAGUAAACCCCAAGAAACAGUUAGAUCCUUGGAUCUGAUCUGAUCCAAAAACUUAGACCCCAGAGCAUACAAUUAGCAAUAAGGGAAUCAAUCCAUUAUUUCUGGUAUACAAUUUGUUCCCAUGAUAUGAAACCAGGUAUCAUUGCAUUAGCCUAAACCAGUAAACCACAAACUAUAAGUUGCAGGGGAGCCGCUCAAGUAGAAACCAAGAACCAGCUAUUAUAAUCUAAGUGUGCAGAGAUAACACACAUAGUCAGUAUGAAAACACAGAGCCAGGCAGAGAUGAUGAUUUUUUUUUUUCAUACAACAGAUACUUAUAAUAGCUAAUAAGCAUAGCGCACCUAGAUUCAUAGCAACAAAAUUACAGAAAAAUAUUUGUAAAUUGGAU